rnacentral:rRNA from 1 species
UACGUAGGGUGCGAGCGUUGUCCGGAAUUAUUGGGCGUAAAGAGCUCGUAGGCGGUCUGUCGCGUCGGUCGUGAAAACUUGGGGCUUAACCCUGAGCUUGCGGUCGAUACGGGCAUGACUGGAGUUCGGCAGGGGAGACUGGAAUUCCUGGUGUAGCGGUGAAAUGCGUAGAUAUCUGGAGGAACACCGGUGGCGAAGGCGACGUCCUGGACCGGCAUUGACGCUGAGGCGCGAAAGCCAGGGGAGCAAACGGG